rnacentral:misc_RNA from 1 species
GGCGUGUUUCCUCAGUCAACUAUGGAUGCAUGGCAUUGUGAUAUUUGUGGCUCAAAAUCGGGCAGAGGAUUUGAAGCAACUUUCGAAGUUCUUCCCAGGCUGAAUGAAAUCAAAUUUAGCAGUGGUGUCAUCGAUGAACUCUUGUUUUUGGAUUUUCCGCGCGAAUGCAGAUUUCCCUCAGGGUUAAUGAUGCUGGAAUAUGCCAAAGCAGUUCAGGAAAGUGUAUAUGAACAACUUCGUGUGGUUCGGGAAGGUCGACUUCGAAUCAUUUUUACCUCUGAUUUGAAGAUAUUGUCAUGGGAAUUUUGUGCUCGGCGUCAUGAAGAGCUUCUUCCGAGGAGAUUAGUUGCACCACAGGUAAAUCAAUUGGUGCAGGUUGCUCAGAAAUGCCAAAGUACAUUAACAGAAACUGGACCUGAUGGAGUUUCUCAGGAGGAUUUACAAGCGAACAGCAACAUGGUCGUCACGAGUGGACGCCAACUUGCAAAGAGUUUGGAGUUACAGUCACUGAAUGAUUUGGGAUUUUCCAAAAGAUAUGUGAGAUGCUUACAGAUUGCUGAGGUCGUGAAUAGCAUGAAGGAUUUGAUGGAUUUUUGCAGUGAGCAUAAAGCUGGUUCCAUUGAGGGCUUAAAGAGUUUCCCGCGACAUGAUAACACAGCCAAGUUUCAGAUGCAAAAUAUACAGGAAACAGAGCAGCAGGUGGGUAAUAUUCAGGGUCUGCCAACCGACCGCAGUGCGUUGAACAAGCUUAUGUCUCUCCAUCCUGGGCUUAAUAACCAAAUCAGCAAUAACCAGCAGAUGGGUGGUCGGGGAGCUUUAAGUGGCUCUGGACAAGCUGCUCUUUCGCUGUCAAACUUCCAAAAUUCGCUUAUGCGGCAGAAUUCAAUGAAUUCAAACACAAACUCAACCCAACAAGAUGCGUCUUCUUCUUUCAAUAAUUCAAACAACUCUCAAUCUUCACUGUUGCAAGGAUCCAAUGGUAUGUUGCCAGGGACAGUGCAGAACUUACCUGUCAGUGGGUUGCCAAGUACCAGUCUGCAGCAACAACAGCAGCAAUUACUGAGUAGUGGUUUACUCUCGCAAAGUCAAUCUCAAUCCUCGCAGGGAAGCCAGGCGCUGCAGCAGCAAAUGAUCCAGCAGCUCCUCCAGGACAUGAACACCAACAAUGGUGGGUCUGGAGUUCAACAGCAGUG